rnacentral:rRNA from 1 species
GCGGAGGAAAAGAAACCAAACCGGAUGCCCCCAGUAGCGGCGAGCGAACAGGGCCGAACCCAAACGUGAAAACGCGAUGUCGCGUGUUGUCGUGUGUCGGCUCCGGAUCAACCCCGCAGCGCCCUCCGACGAAAUGGCCAUGGAACUGGCUGCCUCAGGCGGGUGAGAGACCCGAUCGGUGGGCGUCGGGACACCGGAGUCCGUCGGAGUCGAAUUGCUUGAGAUCGCAGUUCCAAAGGGUGGUGAGCGCCAUCCAAGGUUGAAUACGAGCGGGAAUCCGAUAGCGAAGAAGUACCGUGAGGGAAAGCUGAAAAGGACUUUGGAAAGAGAGUGAAAAGUACCCGAAACUGCGCAUGCGGAACCGCUUUCGACGACGUCUCGGACGUGUGCCCGUCGGCCCACGCGUGGCUCGCCGUCUUGGAGUCUCCUUCGGCGUC